rnacentral:rRNA from 1 species
AGUUCUGGCCAAACCCCCUUGUCCAUGCCUGAUCGUGUCAGAAGCUAAGCAAGAUGGGCCUAGUUAGUAGCUGGAUAGGUGACUGCUGGGAAUACCAGGUUGUUGUGUCCU